UCUAAAAUCCUCUCACAAGUCUUAAUGGUAAUAAAAUGAACCCUGAAUAGCUGGCAAGAUCAAGUGUAAUCAUAACGAAUAGUCAAUCUAUUAAUCCAAGGUUCAUGGAGAGUGUAUGUUAAAUAAUGUAAGACUCUCUACUUUGAAAUUUGAACAAAUCCAGCCAGUUCAACGCACAUCAAUUCAAAGAGGUAAAUAAAAUCAGGUGCUGAAACAUUCUCCCUUUACUAGACUUCAAGAUUUCCACUGGAAAUAAUUCAAGUUUGUUCAUGAUAAUCCAUGUGAGAAAUAUGAAGAAGAAAACAAUAUGAAUUGCUGAACAAUUAAAUGUGGCAAUAUAUGCCACUAUCAUUUGUAGAAGAUAAAAAAAUGUUUAUAGAGCACAAGGACUAAAUGAAUUUAUGAAGACCAAUGUUAUUGACAUGCUUAUUAUAUGUAUAAUUCUUCAAAAAAAUAUAACAUGACUACUUUAAAAAUAAACACAAUAUUAAUCUUUUAUCCAACAAAAGAUAUGCAAUAGAGGACUUCACCUUUUCACAUAUUAAAAAAAAAUAGUAAUAGUAUAACUUGUACUACACUUCUUUAGUACUAGUACUGCACUAAAUUCUUUUUAAACAUUAAAAAAAUGCAUAAAACCUUUCCCUUUUUAUUUUUUUUUAAAAAAAAUCAUUGAUGUACUGCAAACCCUUUCAACUCUUCAAGAAAGAUAUUGUACUGGAAUAUUAUUUCUUCUUUCAGUUUACAUUAGAACAAUCAUCUUUUUCAUAAUAAAGAAAAAUAAAUCCUCAAAUUCCUAAAAAAAAAAAAAGCAAACCCACAAAACUAUGGAGAAACAAUUUUUUUCAAGGCAUGUUGUUCAAAUGAACAACGGAGAAAAUAAAUAUAUUAGUCGUUUACAAAUCAGAUCAAUGGAAUAAUCGUAACACAUCUAAUUUUACAUCAAAAGAUGGCGAGUUCAAUUCUCAUCGGAUCUACAUCCAAUUUGAUUUUAUCUACUUAUAUGUCUUAAAGAUAUUUCUAGCUAAAUUCAGCAACAGAGGAGGAGGGUGAGAUUCGUACACUUGUUGUAUAUAAUGGGAGUGCAUCUAGAAUAAAUUGCAUUGGGCUUCAAGUUUAUCCUGUAUAAGAGUUUGAAUCUGGCGAAGGUUUAUCAUAGUCUCUUGUAGAAUUGCCAAAUGUGGAUGAUAAGUGCAGUUGGGAGGCUGGACAAAGAGCUACAGGUUUAGGCACCUUGAAGGAUAGAUAUUUAUAUCUUCUAGAGCGUUUUCAGGCUCCAAAAGAUGGACCGAAAAAUGCUUUUAGAAGUAAGAUUUCAGUGAAAAAGUAUUUCAACUCUUAGUAUCCUCGUAUGAAUAUCAACAAAUUAUUGGCUUCAAUCAGCUAGGUGAUUCCCUCUAUGCACUCAAAGAGCCAGAAAGGUUAUCUUCGAUAAGGCUCUUUGGUAUAUAUCAUGUAGAGAUAUAUUCGGUUAUUUGCAUCAAUUAAACAAGAACUUCAUUCUUUUAUAUACAUAUUUAAUUUAAUUAAGAAAUAAAACAUAUGACUACAUCUGUCGAGACCAAAUUAACCCUAUACUGUCUUAUUCUCCUACCAGAGCUACUUAUAAUGAUGGUCACAUAUGUUGUAGAGGUUUGAUAGUCACUCAAGGUAAGUUUGGUAAACCUGAAGAUGAAUUUGAUACUUCUUCUACAUUCCUCAGGCAUGCUUGAAUUUUGCGAAAAUUUCAAUUAAGGUUUGAUUAUUCUUCCUCUUGUAGAAAAUUUCUUCUUUUCCAAACAUAGAAGUUAAUAAAUACUACAGAGUUUGAUUUUAAUAAAUACUUCGGAGUUGGAUUAGAUAGAGCAGGUGGUAGUGGUAAACCUUCCCUCCUAGUUUGUGAUCCACUUGCAUCAACUCGUGGGCUAGAGCUAGCACCAAACGGAAGAGCUAUGAUAUUUCUGUCAAGGGAUCAUGUAAUACUACCUCUCCCUCCUUGUUAUCCUAAAACACUUUAUAUAGAGGGACUUCCAGCGGACAACUCCAGAAGAGAAGUAGCUCAUAUUUAUUUAUAUGUCAUUUACUGAAUAAUUUUUAGUUUCUGAACAUAUUUGUUGCUUUUUCCCUACUACACUUUAUAGAUAUUUGAGAACAAGCAUAAAAUAUAAUGAUUCAGUAAAUUACAUCUCAAAGGACAUGAGUAACUUCUCUUCUCAAGAAGUACGGAGGAAGUCCCUGUAUUUAAAAGGUAUUAAAUGCACCAGGAGGUAGAUGUAGUAUUUCACGAUGCAUCGACAUAAAUGCCAUAGAUCUUUCAUUUGGUGCUAGCUCUUUCCCACGAGAUGAUGGAAGUGGAUUACGAACAAGAAGGGAAGGUGUACCACCACCACCUUCCAUAGCUAAUCGAUCUCCCUUGUAGUUAUUAGCUUCUACGUCUCAAAACCAAAAAAUUUGUUAAAAAAGGAGGAAGAUCCAAAUUAGCACAAAAUUCAAGCAUGCCCGAAAAGUGUAGGACCAAUGUUAGCCUUUUCUAGAGACCAUGCUUUUUUUUAUUUGCUGCAUUGUGCCUAGUUUUUCAAAGACUAUUGUUGUAACCUUAGUUGUAAGCUUAUCAAUUUAGACUAAGAUGCUACAUUUAUAAUAGAUGUGAGGCAACAGUGGAUGGCUACAUAUGUGGGCAUGUUUCCCAUCUAGACUAGGCUCAACAAGUUUACAUGGAUGGGACAUUCAAAUGAAGCAUCAAUUUGGAUCCAGAGUAUUUUUUUCAAUACUAUGAUAAAAAUACGCAUUUUGUUUCACAAGUAGUGCAGCUUUAAUGAAUUUACAAAUUUCUUAAUUCUCGUGUUGACAUCGAAAAGAUGUUGAAUGUUGGCAUAUGUAUUUUGGGUGGCUCACAAAAAUGAAUGUAAAAGAGUUGUUGCAUCGUAUAGAAUCAAUAAAGGAAAAGUUAUAGCUAGUUGAUGAA